CGAUAGGCCUAACACAUGCAAGUCGAGGGGCAGCAUAGGGUAGCAAUACUUUGAUGGCGACCGGCGCACGGGUGAGUAACGCGUAUGCAACCUACCUAUAACAGGGGAAUAAGCCCGGAGAAAUUCGGACUAAUACCGCAUAAAACAGGGGCUCCGCAUGGUGAUAUUUGUUAAAGAUUUAUCGGUUAUAGAUGGGCAUGCGUUCCAUUAGCCAGUUGGUGAGGUAACGGCUCACCAAAGCAACGAUGGAUAGGGGUUCUGAGAGGUUUGUCCCCCACACUGGAACUGAGACACGGACCAGACUCCUACGGGAGGCAGCAGUGAGGAAUAUUGGUCAAUGGGCGAGAGCCUGAACCAGCCAAAUCGCGUGAAGGAAGACUGCCUUAUGGGUUGUAAACUUCUUUUAUACAGGAAUAAAAAGAUUACGUGUAACUUAUUGCAAGUACAGUACGAAUAAGCAUCGGCUAACUCCGUGCCAGCAGCCGCGGUAAUACGGAGGAUGCGAGCGUUAUCCGGAUUUAUUGGGUUUAAAGGGUGCGCAGGCGGGAACUUAAGUCAGCGGUGAAAUCUCGACGCUUAACGUCGAAACUGCCGUUGAAACUGGGUUUCUUGAGUAUAGAUGAAGUAGGCGGAAUUCGUUGUGUAGCGGUGACAUGCUUAGAUAUAACGAGGAACUCCGAUUGCGUAGGCAGCUUACUAAGCUAUAACUGACGCUGAAGCACGAAAGCGUGGGGAUCAAACAGGAUUAGAUACCCUGGUAGUCCACGCCGUAAACGAUGAUUACUAGUUGUAUGCGAUAUACCGUAUGUGACUAAGCGAAAGCGAUAAGUAAUCCACCUGGGGAGUACGCCGGCAACGGUGAAACUCAAAGGAAUUGACGGGG
rnacentral:rRNA from 1 species